rnacentral:rRNA from 1 species
CCUACGGGAGGCAGCAGUGAGGAAUAUUGGUCAAUGGCCGUAAGGCUGAACCAGCCAAGUCGCGUGAAGGAAGAAGGAUCUAUGGUUUGUAAACUUCUUUUAUAGGGGAAUAAAGGUAUCCACGUGUGGAUAUUUGCAUGUACCCUAUGAAUAAGCAUCGGCUAACUCCGUGCCAGCAGCCGCGGUAAUACGGAGGAUGCGAGCGUUAUCCGGAUUUAUUGGGUUUAAAGGGUGCGUAGGUUGUUUUUUAAGUCAGCGGUGAAAGUUUGUGGCUCAACCAUAAAAUUGCCGUUGAAACUGGAAGACGUGAGGGUGUUUGAGGUAGGCGGAAUGCGUGGUGUAGCGGUGAAAUGCAUAGAUAUCACGCAGAACUCCGAUUGCGAAGGCAGCUUACUAAGCCAUAACUGACACUGAAGCACGAAAGCGUGGGGAUCAAACAGGAUUAGAUACCCUAGUAGUC